GUCAGCUCGUGUCGUGAGAUGUUGGUUAAGUCCGCAACGAGCGCAACCCUCGACCUUAGUUGCCAGCAUUCAGUUGGGCACUCUAAGGUGACUGCCGGCUAAAAGUCGGAGGAAGGUGGGGAGUGACGUCAAAUCAUCAUGCCCCUUAUGACCUGGGCUACACACGUGCUACAAUGGGCGGUACAAAGGGUCGCGAACCCGCGAGGGGGAGCCAAUCCCAAAAAGCCGCUCUCAGUUCGGAUUGCAGGCUGCAACUCGCCUGCAUGAAGCCGGAAUCGCUAGUAAUCGCGGAUCAGCAUGCCGCGGUGAAUACGUUCCCGGGCCUU
rnacentral:rRNA from 1 species